rnacentral:rRNA from 1 species
UGGGGAAUUUUGGACAAUGGGCGCAAGCCUGAUCCAGCCAUGCCGCGUGCGGGAAGAAGGCCUUCGGGUUGUAACCGCUUUUGUCAGGGAAGAAAUCUUCUGAGUUAAUACCUCGGGAGGAUGACGGUACCUGAAGAAUAAGCACCGGCUAACUACGUGCCAGCAGCCGCGGUAAUACGUAGGGUGCAAGCGUUAAUCGGAAUUACUGGGCGUAAAGCGUGCGCAGGCGGUUUUGUAAGACAGAGGUGAAAUCCCCGGGCUCAACCUGGGAACUGCCUUUGUGACUGCAAGGCUUGAGUGCGGCAGAGGGGGAUGGAAUUCCGCGUGUAGCAGUGAAAUGCGUAGAUAUGCGGAGGAACACCGAUGGCGAAGGCAAUCCCCUGGGCCUGCACUGACGCUCAUGCACGAAAGCGUGGGGAGCAAACAGGAUUAGAUACCCU